UAGUUGCCACCAGGUCAUGCUGAGCACUCUAACGAGACUGCCGGCGUUAAGCCGGAGGAAGGUGGGGAUGACGUCAAGUCCUCAUGGCCCUUACAUCCAGGGUUGCAAACGUGCUACAAUGGCGCGUACAGAGCGACGCAAGAGCGCAAGCUGGAGCAAAUCGCACAAAACGCGCCCCAGUUCGGAUUGUCGGCUGCAACUCGCCGGCAUGAAGUUGGAAUCGCUAGUAAUCGCGGAUCAGCUACGCCGCGGUGAAUACGUUCCUGAGCCUUGUACACACCGCCCGUCAAGUCAUGGGAGCCGGUAGUGCCCGAAGCCGCCACGAUUCAGUGGUGUCCACGGCAAGAUCGGUGACUGGGACUAAGUCGUAACAAGGUAGCCGUAGGAGAACCUGCGGCUGGAUCACCUCCUUUCUAA
rnacentral:rRNA from 1 species